UACGGAGGGGGCUAGCGUUGUUCGGAAUUACUGGGCGUAAAGCGCACGUAGGCGGCUUUGUAAGUUAGAGGUGAAAGCCCAGGGCUUAACCCUGGAAUUGCCUUUAAGACUGCAUCGCUCGAAUUGUGGAGAGGUGAGUGGAAUUCCGAGUGUAGAGGUGAAAUUCGUAGAUAUUCGGAAGAACACCAGUGGCGAAGGCGACUCACUGGCCCGAUACUGACGCUGAGGCACGAAAGCGUGGGGAGCAAACAGG
rnacentral:rRNA from 1 species